rnacentral:misc_RNA from 1 species
CAUGGCUGCAAUAUUUUUCACUUCUCGGCUCUUAAGAAAUUCUAUUUUUGAUUUCUUCAUCAAGUUGCUCUUCACAUGGGAAAGACUGUAUCCAGGUCCACUUCCUCCAUAAAAGUUUCUUUUACUGCCUGAAGGUGGAACCUUUGUGCAAAGACGAAUUUGCUUACUUUGUUUUUUAGCAUCUUCCUUUUUGUAAGAUUGUCGAAGUCGAGCAACUGCUUCAUCCUCCUCCUUAGCAACAACCUUCAGUUUUGCCUCAUAUAGGUCUC